UGCGUGCGUGUUUGCGUGCGUGUGUGUGUGUGUGUGUGUGUGUGUGUGUGUGUGUGUGUGUGUGUGUUACAGUGAGGUGUCUCUGGAGCUGCCAUUCAAACUGAUGAACCCGAACCCUGAAACAGCCAAAGAGAGUGAAUCAGAGGACUUUGUGUUUGAGGAGUUCAAGCGAGUCUACCUGAAGGGCGUCGUCUACGGGGACGAUGACGAGUCUCCUACUGAGGCCUGAACUACUAGAUGUCCCAUGGACAGGAGGACAGGAGGACAGACAAACACAAAGACAUAUCCGUUUGUUUAAUAUGUUACUUCUUGACUCUUUUAAAGUGAGACAUGGUCUGAUUUACUGGAUAAUAAUUGUACUUUUUAAGACAAGAGUGAAAGUACAAAAUAAAAUUCUAAUAACGUGA